rnacentral:rRNA from 1 species
GCGUGGAGCAUGUGGCUUAAUUUGACUCAACGCGGGAAAUCUUACCGGGUCCGGACACACUGAGGAUUGACAGGCAAUAUAUGUGACUCUUCGGAGUUUGCAUUGUUAAAUAUGCUAGUCCUUUCAUGAUUAUGUGAUAGGUGGUGCAUGGCCGUUCUUAGUUCGUGGAGUGAUCUGUCUGCUUAAUUGCGUUUCAAAUUACUUAUAAGGUAGCAAUACGCGAUGAAGCUUUCAAUAGUCCUCACGGAUUCACUUGAGUCUCUCGCUUCGCUAUCCUUUCNAAUGCAACGAACGUGACCGCAACCUCUUGUUGCCUUCGUUUAACAUCCUGCAGCUCGCUGUGGGUACUGAGGGCUUCACUCGGUGACUUUGGGCUGAGCAAUCGGUCU